rnacentral:rRNA from 1 species
AUACGUAGGUGACAAGCGUUAUCCGGAUUUACUGGGCGUAAAGGGCGUGUAGGCGGUCUUGCAAGUCAGAAGUGAAAUUCCUGAGCUCAACUCGGGCGCUGCUUCUGAAACUGCAGGACUUGAGUGCUGGAGGGGAUCGCGGAAUUCCUAGUGGAGCGGUAAAAUGCGCAGAUAUUAGGAAGAACACCGGUGGCGAAGGCGGCUAUCUGGACAGUAACUGACGCUGAGGCCCGAAAGCGUGGGGAGCAAACAGGAUUAGAUCCCCUGGUAGUCCACGCCGUAAACGAUGAAUACUAGGUGUAGGGGGUAUCGACUCCCUCUGUGCCGCAGUUAACACAAUAAGUAUUCCGCCUGGGGAGUACGGCCGCAAGGUUGAAACUCAAAUGAAUUGACGGGG